GCAAGCAACUAAUUAAUGAUGCAAGAGAAGAGGGUAGAGAAACUUGGGCUUUCCUUUUAAGCAAGCAAACAGUAGAUGAUCCUGCAAGUCAGCAGCUUUAUUUUUUUUAGAUGCUUAUUAUUAUUGUGUGGUCGAUGCCUUAAUUCGAAGCCAUAUAUGUUUCAGCGUUGCUGCAUAUCUCGAUGAUUUUUACGCGCUGCGGGAAUCAUCGUGGAUAUAUGGAUGGAUAAAGAGAGUCGUCAAUAAUGGCCUUUAGUUUAUAGGAUAACAUGGCCAUCCACCAACUCUAAUGACUACAUUCUUAAAGCGGCUCCAUGGAGAAAGUGCCGGCUCUCUACUUUUUCUGUUUUGAUCAUUUGGAGCUGAGAGUCCAGUGGGAUUCGAAUUGUCACGUAUAAAGAAUCGACUAUCUAAUCCUCCCCCACGACUUGUUGGCCAACCGAUUACAGAAGAAGGUGCAUCCUCCCUAUUCAAACCGAAAGGAAGCCUUUGCUUCUUCUCUAUAUGCUCCUGAAGGAGAAGGCCACCCGAGGAAAUAACUUGCGACAGGGAAGAUAAGAUCUUCAUCAUGGGCUUCAUGGGAACGAAGCAGCUCGCUGUCCUCUCUCUUGUCAUACUGGCUUCGCUUCCAUCAACUGCACUGGCAGGGCGGCAGAGAAGACUUUAUGGUAAAUAUGCAGCACCAGCGGGAGCGAUAACGAAGGAAUCAGCGAAGAUUAAUGAACCGCACCAGGAACAAGUCCUCAUCGUUCGUUCCAGGAUCCUCAAAAUCAAGACAAAUGAUUAUGGAAGCUAUGAUCCUUCUCCGUCUCUUUCCAAGCCUCCUUUCAAGCUCAUACCAAACUGACCGACGUCGCUUGGUCCCGAGAAACAAAUGGUUCGGUAAUCAAUCCAUCAGUAUAUGUAAUGCCAUAGGUAUAAGAACUUGGGGAUGUUUCUUGUUGAAGUAUAGGGUCCCUAGCUAGCUAGAGAUGUAUCGACUAGAGUUCUUGUCUUGAGACGCAGCUUAAUCUGUGCUCCUGCUUCUUCUUCCGCUCCCGUAUAUGUCCAUAUAUGUCAUCCGUCUCGAGGCAAACUGCACUAAAUGCUACAGUAUAUGCCGGUGAUCUAAAUAUUCCACAUGUAAUAAAACUUUUCGCCUGCCAUGCAUGAA